rnacentral:rRNA from 1 species
GACGAACCGUCCUAACGUUGUUCGGAAUCACUGGGCUUAAAGGGCGCGUAGGCGGUCGGCAAAGUCAGGGGUGAAAUCUUUCGGCUCAACCGGAAAAGUGCCUUUGAAACUAGUCGACUCGAGGGAGAUAGGGGCAAGUUGGAACUUCCGGUGGAGCGGUGAAAUGCGUUGAUAUCGGAAGGAACGCCGGUGGCGAAAGGCGAAUUGCUGGAUCGUCUU